rnacentral:SRP_RNA from 1 species
ACCGGGUGUCGUGGCGGGCGCCUGUAAUGCAAGUGACUGGCAGGUAGAUGGUGAAGGACGGAGUGAGAGGAGGAGUCCUGUUGGGUGNAGCGCUUGCGAGUCGUUGACGCCCAAUAGCCUCCUCAAGACCUUCGGACUCACCAUCGU